AAACUAGAGGCUCUAAAGAGCCUGUGUCGCUCACCUUGGUCUAUGUGAAUAUUAAAGGAAGCAGAUGGAUUCAUGACAAAAUUGUGUUUUGGUGAUGGUGAUGUGUUUGUACAUCUUACUUUACUGAACAUUCUUGCUGCUUAAAAUUAUCUCUAUCUAUAAUGAACUUGACCCAUUAGUUUCAGUGGAAAAUGUUAGUAAAAAUUUACAAAUUUUAUGAAAUUGUUAAAAACUUGACUAUUAAAGAACAAUAACUCCUAAGGGGUCAUUGACCAUUUCGGUCAUGUUGACUUAUUUGUAAAUCUUAUUUUGCUGAACAUUAUUGUAGUUUACAGUUUAUCUCUAUCAAUAAUAAUAUUCAAGAU
rnacentral:lncRNA from 1 species